rnacentral:lncRNA from 1 species
AUUUUGUUACCAUUGUCUUCCUUUGUUUAGAAAAAAUCUAUCUGGAACUUUCAAAAGUGAAUGGACACAUUCUACUGAUUGUAAAGUUCUGCCCAACACAAUUAUUUCUAAGCCAUUACAGACAUCUGGAGACCCCUCACACCUCUUUCUGAGUGAACUGCAGCGGACCCCACAUCAUAUAUUCUUGUUCAGUGUCGGGAAAAUAACGGCUACAGGCAGAAACCAGAUCUGAGGCUUUCAGACGAGUGCUCUGGCACUGAGGUAAAACAGAAGGCAUUGCAGAUUUCUGUUCCUGAUAACUACCGAGUACAUGCUGAAGAGAAACCAAACCUGAACUGCAAUAAUUGACCGGGGAAAUUCUCACUGGGAAGAUGCUACACUGACUAAUCUGUGAGCAAGAUUUAUAAAUGAAAGGCUCUAAAACUGCCUGAGGUUUACUAUAAAGAGUGAGGCAUUACUUUUUUUUCAAAGGAAACCAAUUUGCUGAGGGCUGCUUUGUGCAGUUGAAGGGGUGCUUCUUUUAGUAGCAUCACAAAUUAGAGCUGCCAUUGGAGAAAUAGAGGUGUAUUGAUAGCAAGCAGGUGGCUCUUGUUCCAAGGAGAUUUGUUUGGUACCAUUUUAUGAUUGAGCUGAUGCUGUGACAUAUUAAGUGGAGCUUGUCAUUCUCCCAUCUGGUCUACACAACUGCUGGAGGCGGAACCCAUUUAGGAAGUUGCACAUUUCUUGCAGAUGUUCCUGAACGUUUCAUAAAUAACUAACAGAAACCACUGAUUCAUUUGGCUUUAUUAAACCUAUCUUAGGGGAAUCAUGUCAUUGUUCAUGGAGAAAAUUGUAUGUGUUGCUUGGCAUUUAAGAAACUUAUUAUCAAAUUACAGCACUUUAAAGCCUUACUUGGUGCUAAUGGGAAAAUUGUAAAGUACAGAUCAGGACUUCUUUCGGCCUGAUUAUAAUUUAUGUAAAUGACUGCACUUGAUAAAGAGUCCUUCAUGCUAAGUAAAAUGCUUUUUGCCUGUGGAACC